AGGAUAGAGGCGCAGUUGUCAUCAGUAAGGCCGGUGCAAGGCAUCGCAAAGCCGUUGCCGGUUUGAAAGGGGCCGCUGCCGAAGAUGGAGCGGGCGAACUCCGUCUGGGCAAACGGACAACAUCCGUUUGACUGCCGCGUUUCGCGGAGCGCUAUGUAU
rnacentral:ncRNA from 1 species